rnacentral:rRNA from 1 species
CGCUUUCACUCCUACGGGAGGGCAGCAGUGGGGAAUAUUGCACAAUGGGGGAAACCCUGAUGCAGCCAUGCCGCGUGUGUGAAGAAGGCCUUCGGGUUGUAAAGCACUUUCAGUAGGGAGGAAGGUAGUGUAGUUAACACCUGCAUUAUUUGACGUUACCUACAGAAGAAGCACCGGCUAACUCCGUGCCAGCAGCCGCGGUAAUACGGAGGGUGCGAGCGUUAAUCGGAAUUACUGGGCGUAAAGCGCAUGCAGGCGGCCUGUUAAGUCAGAUGUGAAAGCCCGGGGCUUAACCUCGGAAUUGCAUUUGAAACUGGCAGGCUAGAGUCUUGUAGAGGGGGUAGAAUUUCAGGUGUAGCGGUGAAAUGCGUAGAGAUCUGAAGGAAUACCAGUGGCGAAGGCGGCCCCCUGGACAAAGACUGACGCUCAGAUGCGAAAGCGUGGGGAGCAAACAGGAUUAGAUACCCUGGUAG